UACCGGCCCCGCGAGUGGUCGGGGUGAUUAUUGGGCCUAAAGCGCCCGUAGCCGGCUUGGCAAGUCCCCUGGGAAAUCUGGCGGCUUAACCGUCAGGCGUCCAGAGGAUACUGCCAGGCUUGGGACCGGGAGAGGUGAGAGGUACCUCAGGGGUAGGGGUGAAAUCUUGUGAUCCCUGAGGGACCACCAGUGGCGAAGGCGUCUCACUAGAACGGGUCCGACGGUCAGGGACGAAAGCUGGGGGCACGAACCGG
rnacentral:rRNA from 1 species